rnacentral:rRNA from 1 species
UACGUAGGGACCGAGCGUUGUCCGGAUUCAUUGGGCGUAAAGAGCUCGUAGGCGGCUGCUCAAGUCGAAUGUGAAAACUCGAGGCUCAACCUCGAGCCUGCAUUCGAUACUGGGCGGCUAGAGUCUGGUAGGGGGAUCUGGAAUUCCUGGUGUAGCGGUGGAAUGCGCAGAUAUCAGGAGGAACACCAAUUGCGAAGGCAGCUCGCUGGGACGUUACUGACGCUGAGACGCGAAAGCGUGGGGAGCAAACAGG